CCUACGGGAGACAGCAGUAGGGAAUAUUGCUCAAUGGGCGAAACCCUGAAGCAGCAACGUCGCGUGGAGGAUGAAGGUCUUCGGAUUCUUAACUCCUUUUUUUAGAGAAGAUAAUGACGGUAUCUAACGAAUAAGCACCGGCUAACUCCGUGCCAGCAGCCGCGGUAAUCCGGAGGGUGCACGCGUUACUCGGAAUCACUGGGCGUAAAGAGCGCGUAGGCGGGAUAGCAAGUCAGAUGUGAAAUCCUAUGGCUUAACCAUAGAACUGCAUUUGAAACUGUGAUUCUAGAGUAUGGGAGAGGUAGGUGGAAUGCGUGGUGUAGGGGUAAAAUGCGUAGAGAUCAAGAAGAAUACUCAUUGCGAAGGCGACCUGCUAGAACAUAACUGACGCUGAUGCGCGAAAGCGUGGGGAGCGAACAGGAUUAGAUACCCGAGUAGUC
rnacentral:rRNA from 1 species